AGUGAACGCUGGCGGCGUGCCUAAUACAUGCAAGUCGAACGAGUGGCGCACGGGUGAGUAAUGAAUAGCUAAUCUGCCCUACACUAGAGGACAACAGUUGGAAAAGGCGGCUAAUACUCUAUAGUGUAGGAUGCGGCAAUAUUGUAGCAGCUAGUUGGUGAGGUAAUGGCGCACCAAGGCUAUGACGCAUCACUGGUCUGAGAGGAGGAUCCGUCCCACUGGAACUGAGACACGGUCCAGACUCCUACUGGAGGCGGCAGUAUGGAGUAUUGCUCAUUGGGGGCAUCCCUGAAGCUGCAUCGCCGCGUGGAGGAUUACACUUUUCGAGGCGUAUACUCCUUUUAUUAGGGAAGCGGUACCUGACGAAUAAGCACCGGCUAACUCCGUGCCAGCCGCCGCGGUAAUAC
rnacentral:rRNA from 1 species